GGAAGCUAUUUUUUCAUAAACAGGAAAAAUAACAAAAUACAUGAAAUAGUCGAAAACAAAAUACAAAUUAUACAGAAACCGAAGCUUCUCUCUUCUCAAUUGCUCCUUCCCGAUCGAAAAUUGCAUCUGAAGGUUUGUUUCUGCACAUUGGAAUUGACAAUCGGUAUUGCGUGAUGAUGCGAUACAAGAAAGGGAAUUUGGUGGAAGUCUUGAAUGAAAACGAGUUACCCUCUGGUUCUUGGCGUUGUGCGGAGAUUGUCAGGGGCAACGAAGAGAAUUAUAUUGUCAGGUACAGUACGAGUGAUAUAUCAGAAGCGGUUGUGGAAAGGGUGUCUAGGAAGUUAAUUAGGCCUUGCCCCCCUCUAGUUGAAUUUUCAGAGAACUGGAUGCCUGGGGAUGUGGUUGAGGUGUUUCUCAGCUUCACUUGGAAAAUGGCAACAGUGUCUAAGGUGAUAGGGAAGGACCACGUUUUAGUCCGGUUGGUUGGAUCCGCAAAUGGAUUCAAAGUUAAGAAAUGUAACAUUCGCGUGAGACAGUCAUGGAAGGAUGGUCAGUGGGCCAUAGUUGGAAAGGGUCUGGCUCAGAAGUACAAUAGGAUUUCAGGCUUCCAAUCCAUGGGAAUAACGCCAAGAAUAGGUUUCCAUGGAAAACAAGACCAUGCACUUAAUAAUGAUGUGAAAUUUCAUGAAUCUUAUAUUGGUAAGUCGAGAACUUUAAAGAGAGGACUACCAUAUUGUGAUUCUCAGACAGAAGCUAAUAAUGGGAUUGCCCAGAAAUAUAGAGUGAUUGAGAAGGAGGGUGGACGGUGUCGAGGGAUUGCUGCACAUUAUUCUCCAUUACAUGGAAAGGUAGGCAACAGCCCUUUAACUGGAAAAGUGCUGGUUGCAAAGGAAAGACAUUUUAUUGAAAACCAUAGAAGAAGUAGUCUUUAUGAAUUGGAAGUGGAGAGGACAAAAGCAAUUGAGGUGGUGUCACAUGCAAUGCCAAUGGAAUCUAAUGAUGCUGACAGUAUCUCUAGCUCUGUUGGUAGUUGUAGCAUUGCUAGCAACAAUAUGUCUACAUCACAUUGCAAGUUGUUAGUAGGUUUUGCAGACGACAUUCAAGAACACUCAAGUGAUGCUGAAUCGGUGCAAGAGUCAUGCAAUCGCCGAGGAAACUGUUUCCCUACCUCCAGAGAGUUGGCCACAGAAAUCCAUAGGUUAGAGUUGUAUGCAUAUCGUGCUACUAUGGAGGCGCUGUAUGCUUCAGGACCUUUAAGUUGGGAACAGGAAACAUUGAUUACAAAUCUUCGCAUUUAUCUCAAUAUAUCAAAUGAUGAGCAUUUGUUGGAGUUAAGGAAUUUAAUAUCUAAUGCAUCAAGCUUUUCCAUUAGCUGACAGAGAACUGGCAUUUAUGAAUUUGUCUUUUAUGAUCCUUCUGCCCAGAGUUUAUGGCCUGCAAUUCUGCUACCAAAUUCCUGGGUGAUGCUGGGAUUUGCCUCUUUUCUCUUCAUGUAGAUGAUCUGGCAAUGUCAGCAUCAGAUCCAGUAGGAAGGAAAUAGCAGUAGCUAUCCAUGUUACUGACAGUGUAACAUGAUUGCUGAAUUGAUUCUGUGGCUCUAUGAAAGUAUGAAGCAGAAAUACCUUGCUGAAAUAUUGGGGAUUGGUUUCAUCACUGUUCCAUGGCUGGAUUGGUAUGAUGAGAUUGCACUGCACUGCACUUGCUUUAGCAAGGAUGGACUUGGUAUACACCUUCUUGGCUCGCACAUCACAAUUUUGGCAUAUGGUUUCUGAUUUUUUUUCUGAUUAUACAUUCCAGGUCGAUGAAUGAUUGCAUUGCACUAGCCUUAGCAAGCAUAGACUUGAUUCUUCGAGGCCAUGCCUAUCUUGAGAGGUUGAUGAAUGAUUGCAUUUAGCAAGCAUAGACUUGUAAAUCUAGUCUAGCAAUUUGGUUCUUCGAGGCCAUGCCUAUCUCAAGAGGUUGGGUCGUUGAUAAGCAAGCAUUGACUUGUAAGACCGUCAUCUAUCGUAAGAUGGCCAUGGCAAAUGCAACUAGAAAAUGUCAUGUCCUUUUUGCUUUUACCAGUGUAAAGAGGAUUUUGGACAGGCUAAAUGGAGAAUUCAACAUAUGAGUUGUACAUGAUUUUGGUUCUAUCAAAUUCUAAGCAAAUCAUCUUUGUAUGAUUGGCACAACCAUGUGAUUAUGCCUCCUAUCUCAUGGAAUGAUCAAGUGUAUAUAAGUAAAUCUAGGCUUGGCUUGUGAUGAUUUCAUGAUCUAAGUCAUGCCUGAUUAUUAUUGAUUAAA